rnacentral:ncRNA from 1 species
AGUAAUGAGCGCCAGUGCCAAGCCCUGACUUAGCUGGCCGGCAACCCUCCAAGCGGCGGGGUGCCUCAGGUGAGUACUCGGCAUUCGUCUUCGAUACGCAAGCCCGAAGG